AUGUUUGGAGGGGACGGAGAGAGAGAGAGGAAUGGCGAGAGGGAAAGGGAUGAAGAGAGGGAUAGAGUGAGUGAGGGGGAUGGAGAGCAAGAGAGCAACUAUGUCUCAGGCUGUGUCCCCCACCACUCCUUCCAGGGCUUGUCUGCACGGUUUCACUGGUCCCCCUGUCUACGACGGAGCUUCAACACCUCGGUGUCUGUGCCUGACGCGGUGAGCGUCCAGAGGCUACUGUCUCAGGGAAACUUCCUGUUGUUCUCCCAGGCUCUGCAGGGGCUGUCUGGGCUAUUUAGGCUCUGGGUGGGGGGCCACAUGGCUUCUCCUCUGGCCGCCUAUGACCCCCUCUACCUCUCACACGCCGCUUUCAUCGACAAGCUCUGGACACACUGGCAGGACAGGCACAGAGACGUGCACACUCAUGAAGAAGCUCAUGGGCACACUCACCUACACACCAAGUACCCGGUGAGGCAGCGUCUCGUCAAGAUGAAGCCGUUCGGCAUUGCUCCUGAUGAUGUGAUGUCUUCACGGGAACAACUGUGUGUGGUGUAUGUACCCAUAACCCUCGGAGCUCCCUGCAAUGUGACAUCAUCACUCCUUGCCGAAAGAGGGAAGGGCCGCCACAGAGGAGCGAAAGACACUGCCAGCUAUCACAGAAAGAGACAAGAUACACAAAACAACCAUAAACACAGCACCUAUGAUUACAAUGCACAAAGCUAUGAUGGCUUUGACCACAGUGGUUACAAUCGCAAUGGAUAUGACAGACAAGGUUUCAACCGCAUGGGCUGGGACCUGCUUGGUUACAGUAAGGAUGGUUUGGACCGUGACCACAUCGACAGAGAGGGCUAUGACAUUUCUGGAUACAACCGCUAUGGGUUUAACCGCCACAAUGUUACAUGGUUCGGGAUGCGCUGGGAUGGAUUGUUUAUGAGGGGGGAGGAGAGAGAAGAGGAGACUCAAGGGGAGAAAGAGAAGGAGAGUGAGGUGAGAGAGGAGAGUAGAGAGGAGGAGGAGAGAGAAAGAGAGAAGGUUAUGUCAGAGCUCUUUAGCGACAGUGGCUACAAUGUUUAUGGUUUCGACCCCUUUGGUUUGGACCGGGGUGGUUUUGAUGCAUUUGGAUUUCGACCAGACGGUUACGAUAAGGACAGCUGUAACUGGUUCUACAACGGACCGCACUACCUACGGUUCUAUUACCACACCCAACAGCAGCUAAUUUCAACCAAUCAACACACUCUUAACCACAUUACAAGAACCUGCUCUCCAAUCACAGCCCUGCCUCAGCACUGGCCUUUGCAGGAUUGGAUGGCUCUGGAUCAAGAGGAGAGCCAAGCCCUGAUUGGUCAGCUGGAGCGGGAGUGGGCGGGACAGAAGCAUUCUGAUGACUACUACACCCACAAGGUGAUGUCACAGAGGGGACGGGGCAUUUGGCUGCCAAUCACCCCAGACAGCAGGUAA
ensembl:lncRNA